UGAACAGCACUUUUGUGCUUCACGCUAUUUCCAAGUGCCAACACACACGGGAAUUCGAGAACUAAGUGAAAAGGUAAAUCUAGUGGCGGACGGGUGAGUAACGCGUGAACAAUCUGCCCUGUACAAAGGAAUAGCCUCGGGAAACCGGGAUUAAAACCAUAUGACACUUUAGUACCGCAUGGUACAGAAGUCAAAUUGAAUAAGAGGUAUGGGAUGAGUUCGCGUCUGAUUAGCUAGUUGGUAAGGUAACGGCUUACCAAGGCGACGAUCAGUAGCCGGCCUGAGAGGGUGAACGGCCACACUGGAACUGAGACACGGUCCAGACUCCUACGGGAGGCAGCAGUGGGGAAUAUUGCACAAUGGAGGGAACUCUGAUGCAGCGACGCCGCGUGAGCGAAGAAGGCUUUCGGGUCGUAAAGUUCUGUCCUUGGGGACGAUAAUGACGGUACCCAAGGAGGAAGCCCCGGCUAACUACGUGCCAGCAGCCGCGGUAAUACGUAGGGGGCGAGCGUUGUCCGGAUUUACUGGGCGUAAAGGGUGAGUAGGCGGUUGUAUAUGUCAGGUGUAAAAGGCUAUGGCUUAACUAUGGUUAGCACUUGAAACUGUAUGACUUGAGUGCAGGAGAGGUAAGCGGAAUUCCUAGUGUAGCGGUGAAAUGCGUAGAUAUUAGGAGGAACACCAGUGGCGAAGGCGGCUUACUGGACUGUAACUGACGCUGAGUCACGAAAGCGUGGGUAGCAAACAGGAUUAGAUACCCUGGUAGUCCACGCUGUAAACGAUGAGUGCUAGGUGUUGGGUAGCGAUAUUCAGUGCCGGAGUAAACACAAUAAGCACUCCGCCUGGGGAGUACGUACGCAAGUAUGAAACUCAAAGGAAUUGACGGGGACCCGCACAAGCAGCGGAGCAUGUGGUUUAAUUCGAAGCAACGCGAAGAACCUUACCAAGGCUUGACAUCCCCUUGACCGGUGCAGAGAUGUACCCUCUUCUUCGGGAGCAAGGGAGACAGGUGGUGCAUGGUUGUCGUCAGCUCGUGUCGUGAGAUGUUGGGU
rnacentral:rRNA from 1 species